rnacentral:rRNA from 1 species
GAGCGCCCAGCAAUGGGAGCGGCGGACGGGUGAGUAACACGUGGGAAUAUGCCCCGAGGUACGGGACAACUCAGGGAAACUUGAGCUAAUACCGUAUGAUCCGGCAACGGCAAAGAUUUAUCGCCUUGGGAUUAGCCCGCGUCCGAUUAGCUAGUUGGUGAGGUAAUGGCCCACCAAGGCACCGAUCGGUAGCUGGUUUGAGAGAACGACCAGCCACACUGGGACUGAGACACGGCCCAGACUCCUACGGGAGGCAGCAGUAGGGAAUCUUGGACAAUGGGGGAAACCCUGAUCCAGCCAUGCCGCGUGAGUGAUGAAGGCCUUACGGGUUGUAAAACUCUUUCGACGGGGACGAUAAUGACGGUACCCGUAGAAGAAGCUCCGGCUAACUUCGUGCCAGCAGCCGCGGUAAU